rnacentral:rRNA from 1 species
GGAUGAACGCUGGCGGCGUGCCUAAUACCUGCAAGUCGAGCGAACAGACGAGGAGCUUACUCCUCUGACGUUAGCGGCGGACGGGUGAGUAACACGUGGAUAACCUACCUAUAAGACUGGGAUAACUUCGGGAAACCGGAGCUAAUACCGGAUAACAUGUUGAACCGCAUGGUUCAACAGUGAAAGACGGUCUUGCUGUCACUUAUAGAUGGAUCCGCGUCGCAUUAGCUAGUUGGUAAGGUAACGGCUUACCAAGGCAACGAUGCGUAGCCGACCUGAGAGGGUGAUCGGCCACACUGGAACUGAGACACGGUCCAGACUCCUACGGGAGGCAGCAGUAGGGAAUCUUCCGCAAUGGGCGAAAGCCUGACGGAGCAACGCCGCGUGAGUGAAGAAGGUCUUCGGAUCGUAAAACUCUGUUAUUAGGGAAGAACAAAUGUGUAAGUAACUAUGCACGUCUUGACGGUACCUAAUCAGAAAGCCACGGCUAACUACGUG